rnacentral:misc_RNA from 1 species
UUUCCGUAGGUGAACCUGCGGAGGGAUCAUUACAGAGUUCAUGCUCUACCGGGUUGAUCUCAUACCUUAUGUUAUUAUUACUUUGUUGCUUUGGUGGGCCGUUAGGCUCAGGCCCCACUACCGGCCCUGGACGCUAAGCGCCCGCUAGAUGUGCCAAAACUUUGAAUUUUAGUGACGCCUGAGUCAUAUAUCAACGUCAAAACUCUUAACAACGGAUUCCUUGGUUAAGGCAUCGAAGAAGAAUGCAGCAGAUCGGAAAGCACACGACUGUACUCCAGU